UCCCCGAAACUGUUAAACCUGAUGAAGCUAAACAGCUUAGAGACGAGGUACGUGGGAUGUUUUAUCAUGCUUUUGAUGGAUAUAUGAACAAUGCUUUUCCACUUGAUGAAUUGAGACCGUUAUCUUGCCAAGGUGAAGAUACACUUGGAGGCUAUGCGUUGACCUUGGUGUGGUCCUUGCAAAGUGAUUGCUCCCAAAUACAAAGAGCUAUCUAAGAAGUAUCAGGAUAUGGUGUUUCUUAAGCUUGACUUCAACCAAGACAACAAGGUAUCUAAUUCAAGGAAAGGUUUAACUGUCAUUGCACAUCUUGACAUGUGAAGUCCAGUUUUGGUCUGUCUUGAGUCAAAAACUUGUUUUGGCUUUAUUAGAACAUCGUUCACACACAAUACGUCAUACACCACAUUGGUUGGGCUUUGGACUUAAAAGAAAAAGUUAUGUGUUCAGAUUUUUACAGUUGGAACAAA